ensembl:lncRNA
GGGGGGGUACAGUUCUGCAGCGCUAUAUACAUAUGGAUGCAGCAGCAGACUGAACCAGGACUGAAACCUGCUCCAUCAUCUCAUCUUUGCAGAUGUCCAUUUAUAAAGCAUCAACAACUCUAAGGAGCCGUCCUCAGAUUCAGACCUCAGCACCACCCAGUGACAGCAGACAAAUCAUCCUAUAUCUUCACUCUUUGUAGUAACUCCAAAAUUAACUGAUGAAAACAGUACAAAGGUUAAAGUACACUGUUAAAAAAGAAAUCCUAGAAAAACAGUAAUAUUCCGGCAGCUGGGGCGCCAAAAUAAUACCAU